GGGGGGGGGGGGGGGGGGGGGGGGGGGGGGGGGGGGGGGGGGGGGGGGGGGGGGGGGGGGGUGGGGCGGGGGGAGGGGCGAGCGGGGGAGGAACGGGGAAGCAACCUGCCCUUCAGGGGGGGACCACAGGUGGAAACGACUGCUAAUACGGCAUACGAUCGAAUCUCGGCAUCGAGGAGGGAUGAAAGGUGGCCUCGACAUGUAAGCUCUCACUCACGGAGGGGAGUGCGUCUGAUUAGCUGGUUGGAGGGGUAACGGCCCACCAAGGCGAUGAUCAGUAGCCGGUCUGAGAGGAUGAACGGCCACAUUGGGACUGAGACACGGCCCAGACUCCUACGGGAGGCAGCAGUGGGGAAUCUUCCGCAAUGGACGCAAGUCUGACGGAGCAACGCCGCGUGAGUGAUGACGGCCUUCGGGUUGUAAAGCUCUGUUAAUCGGGACGAAAGGCCUUCUUGCGAAUAGUGAGAAGGAUUGACGGUACCGGAAUAGAAAGCCACGGCUAACUACGUG
rnacentral:rRNA from 1 species